UACGUAGGGUGCGAGCGUUGUCCGGAAUUAUUGGGCGUAAAGAGCUCGUAGGCGGUCUGUUGCGUCCGCUGUGAAAACUCGGGGCUUAACCCCGAGCCUGCAGUGGAUACGGGCAGACUAGAGGUAGGUAGGGGAGAAUGGAAUUCCCGGUGUAGCGGUGAAAUGCGCAGAUAUCGGGAGGAACACCGGUGGCGAAGGCGGCAUCCUGGACCGACAUUGACGCUGAGGCGCGAAAGCCAGGGGAGCAAACGGG
rnacentral:rRNA from 1 species